rnacentral:precursor_RNA from 12 species
UGGUACAAAACUCUGAACUUAGGCCGAAAGAGCAGCCAGAGCCUUCCCUCAAUGUCUGUUUUACAGAGAGCAAGGCUGAGGCUGUUCUCAGAGCCUGAUCUAAUUCCUGGUGGGUUCU